CCAGCUCUCUUUGCCUUUUGGCUUAGAUCAAGUGUAGUUACUGUUCUUCUUAGUUUAAUCUCUAGGACGUGCCCACGGGUACAUCUAGUGAUUAAACCAGUUUUUGGAAACGGGCUGGGGGCCGCUGAGCAUCGCUCAUGUCCCUGGCCACAGUGUCGCCCAUACUGCACUGUCGUGGGCUGACGCGAACAGAC
rnacentral:snRNA from 1 species